UACGUAGGGGGCAAGCGUUGUCCGGAUUUAUUGGGCGUAAAGAGCGUGUAGGCGGCCUGGAAGGUCCGUUGUGAAAACUCGAGGCUCAACCUCGAGACGCCGAUGGAAACCAUCUGACUAGAGUCCGGAAGAGGAGAGUGGAAUUCCUGGUGUAGCGGUGAAAUGCGCAGAUAUCAGGAAGAACACCCGUGGCUAAGGCGGCUCUCUAGUACGGUACUGACGCUGAGACGCGAAAGCGUGGGGAGCGAACAGG
rnacentral:rRNA from 1 species